rnacentral:lncRNA from 1 species
CAAAAGGAAAAAAAGCCUUGUAAAUCAUCUCUCUCACUUAACUUGCCCAUUGUCCUCUCUCUGCAGGAAACCCACAGGUUGCAGAAGAAAAUGGCUGGUAGAAAUGCCACAGGAAGAAUAACUUGGUUUUGAAAUGAGGUAAGGGAUGCUAGGUGCAAAAACACACAUGAUUCACCUGCCUCAUCAAGUCCCUUUGAAUUCUUCCAAUUCCCACUGGUGUUUAGAGAGGACCUAGAAUGCACAAGGCGCCAUAAUAGAUGCUUGAUGUAUAAAGAUGAAGAGGACACAGUCCCAGGGGAGCUACGAUGAAGCAGAGAAAGGAAUUCCAACAGCAGAUGCGUGACAAGAUGGAGCUGAUUAAAAGAAGACAAGCAAAGUCUCAGUGCCAGACCACUUCAGAGAUGAAGCAUUCCAGAAAGGCAUGUAAGAACUCCUGUCAGAAACAGGGAGGAUUUCACAGCCCCUCUUGCAUAUUAAUGAACUACAAGGAACCUCAGUGUAGUGGUGCAGAUGCAACAUUUCAGGAGCCGUGCCAGGAUUCCACGAUAAAUACCAGCUCCAGGGGAAAUACAUUUCAUGAUAGAAUUAGGGGAUCAGCCAUCUGAGACGUC